GUUAGGAAUAUUGGACAAUGGGCGAAAGUCUGAUCCAGCCAUGCCGCGUGAACGAUGAAGGCCUUCGGGUUGUAAAGUUCUUUAGCCGAUGAUUAUAAUGACUGUAGUCGGAAAAUAAGCCCCGGCUAACUUCGUGCCAGCAGCCGCGGUAAUACGAAGGGGGCGAGCGUUAUUCGGAAUCACUGGGCGUAAAGCGUGCGUAGGCGGUUUUGUAAGUUAGGAGUGAAAGCCCAGGGCUCAACCUUGGAAUUGCUCUUAAAACUGCAAGGCUCGAAUCUCGGAGAGGAUAGCGGAAUUUCCAGUGUAGCAGUGAAAUGCGUAGAUAUUGGAAGGAACACCAGUGGCGUAAGCGGCUAUCUGGACGAGUAUUGACGCUGAGGCACGAAAGCGUGGGGAUCAAACAGGAUUAGAUACCCUUGUAGUCC
rnacentral:rRNA from 1 species